UGUGUGUGUGUAUGUGUGUAUAAAUUUAUAUAUGCACACAUGCAAACAGUUCCUGGAAGAGAACUCUGAAUGCUCUGCUAGCAAAACACUGUGGUGUGCAAAUCUAGAACUCAGUAGAAAAAAAGCCAUUUAUCUGAAGGCUGCAUAGUGGAGAAAGUCUUCAGUUUACCUCAUUCUUUGUAGCAGCCCUUGAUUUUAACAGGUUUUUGUAAUAGGUACAAAAAUCCCAUGCCUUUCUAGGUGCAAUUUUAAGUUAAGCUAAAAAUUCUUUGUAGGGUUAAUUUAUUUGUGUAUGAUAGUAGAAGGUAAGAUCUUGUCAAACCUUAUGAUUUGGGGAAUCUGACACUAUUUAAAUUAUUGGAAACUGUUUAUUGUACAGAGAUUCUUUUUUCUACUGGCUCGGUCUGUUACAUUAAUGAUGCGUUUUUAUAUGUUCAAGCACACAACUUUACAUAAGUACAAAGCUCACUAGUAAAAUCAGCCUGUUUUGACAUUUGCAACACUAAUUUCACUCCAGCGUGAAAAAGUUAAAUUUAUGUUCUUUUCUGUAAGCACUACCUGAGCAAUACAGUAUUUCCUUUAUAUGCUCUACAUAUGACUUUGCUAAAAACUAACAUUUUAAAAUUUGCUUUAAAGGGCUGUAUUCAACCCACAGCUUUUAAGUUUGUUCCCAAAAGAAGCAUUACAGCUAAUCCUUAGACUCACAGAUAGUUGAAAAUACAGUGUUUCUCUUCUCCACAUUUCUAUGCCUUUGCAUCAAGGCUUAGGUUUGUUUUUGUUUGUUUUGUUUGUUUUGUUUUGUUUUACUGGUGAAUCUUAAUAGAGAAUCUUCUGUUGGGAAUGUGGGGCAGAAGAUUGUCUGUUAGCUAAGCUUUUCUUCUUCAUAGUGAAAUGGCAACCCAAAUGUCCCUUCCAGUUUAAUGAGAGUUCUGUGUAGCCAAUCUUCUCACAGCUAGAAAUGAACACAUUGUUUCUAAAAAAACUACACUGUCAUGUGUAUGAGGGUCACUUUGGAGACGGCCCUCCUCCUCAGAUAAUCAAAGUACAAAAUGGAGGAGUUUGAUGUGUUUCACACUGGCUUUUUCGAUGCUUGUAUAUCUUAGGGUUAAUUCUGCAGUAUUUCAAGAGAGAAAAUCUCAAUGUUUUUUGGCUCAUUCAAGAGCUGGGGGAGAGAUGAAUCCACCCUGUGGUGCAUUCCUUGAUUGUUUUUGGGAGAAUGCCAUCUUUUCCCUUCCCAUUUGUAAAAGAAGCCUUAGAGAAAUCCUAAAGGAGAUUGUUUUCCCCAAGUGUUAUGAUACCUAGUCAGUUCCAAGGAAACCACUGGAUAUAUUCUACCGACAUUUGGGUUUUCGUCUUCCAGUUUGAUUGGAUUAGUCUUCAGUCAAAUGGUUCACUUUGAAGGAAAACUUUGGUUGUCACUAUUAUACCACUGAGGUAAAGUGUUAGCAAAGAAUGGUCUAAAGUAAUUCGUGAUAUGACCAAGAGCUUUUCUCUUCCAAAAGAUGAAUUUUAUUGUAAAUAGUUUCUCAAAGUAUUUUUAACUGGAUCAUAAGCAUGGGGAGAGAAAGUUUCUCAGCUGCUAAGAAUUUCCCCACUGUUUACGUCUUUCACUUACAGUGGUAUUGCAUAUAAGAUUACGGAAUUUAAGAUUUUAUUUGUAUCUCAUUACCCAAACCAUUAAAAUGUCUUUAUUUUCGUCGCUGUCCUGAGGUCCGGUGCCUGAGAGGCUGAGGGGAAAUUCCCCCACGGCCAGCUAGCACUCUAACCCAGAAUUAGAACCAUCCCAUCAAGUAGUAUGUGAAGUCAAGUCUUUGUACUCUUCCAGACCAAACAAUGAAAUGGACUCAUUCAUAUAAAUUUCUAUAAAUCCUGUAAGUGAAAAGCUAGACAACUGCUAGCAGUUGCUUUUAAACAGGUCACUAUAAUAAGUACCGCAUAGUACAGUAUUAAUUUAUAGCAGGAAUUCAUAUCUUGUAAACUGUAUAUAAAAACACUGUUUUAUGGUGCAAUCAUUUGUCAAAACUUUUGUCUGUUACAUUGUUUCUAGAGUGUGUGCAUUACUCUCAUACCUAAGAAUAUCACUGUAAAAUCUGCUGAAAACUUUUUAGGUUUUAUUUGCACAAGACUGAAUUAGUUUGAAUUCUUGAAAGCUCCUAUUGAACAUGUCUAAACAUCUGUAAACAUGAAAAAGUCUUCAGUUCAUUAAAAGCAAAUGUUUCAGUAUGAUUCUUUCCAAAGGUGAUCCAUGUUCUAUGUUGUUACUGUGAGUAUGUAAUUCUUCUGACUCUUCCACCUCUUACAAAUCUAGUUUCUGUUUCAUUUGUUUUAUUUUUGAAGGAAGGCUCUUUUUUCUUUUUAAUGUUCUAGAUGACCAAAACGCUUUAUUGGUUUUUACAUGUUUGCCUAAAGCUUUGAUAUCCCCACUUGAUGUUCUAUGAAUUUACUAACCUCUUAAAUAAUAAAUGGUCCUGGUGACAGUCUGUUGACUUAGAGGAGAGGCCAUGAAAAAGUAUUGGAAACUAACUUAGCAUCUACUCUAAGCUAUUAUUUCUGCAUCGUGGGCUUCAUGGGAAGACCAUGUUGCAUUUAUUUUGUCUUUAUUAAAAGACUACUAGCCACAAGUGACUAUCGGUUUGGUAAUUAUUUUAUCAGCCCACUUUGAUUUUGAAAAAUUAAAAAUUACAUUUCCAAUUCAAAAUAGUAAGUUGUCUUUCAGAAAAUUUUUGAAGGAUAAAAAUAACAUGAAAGAAAAAAGUGGCCUGUGUAGGUAGCAUUUCUUACACGGGACUUUUAGUUGUAUCACCUCAAGAGAUUUUAAAGUUUGUGAUCAAGGUCUGUGUAUUUUCCCAAACUUUAUUAAGAAUUGUUUUCUAAUUGGUUAUAACAUUUUUCAAUUAAUAGUUUCAAAGCAAAUUGUUAAUACAACUGUACAAAAUGAACAUAAUUUUCUUCACUUGUAUUUUUGUUAUUGAGCAAGUUUAUCAAAAAUAAAUUGUCUACUAAAGAAACUAAAAAGGCUUUUAUUACUUUAAGCUUUUAUCAGAAAUUUCUUACGGAUGUUUCACACAUUCACACACUGACACUUUGAAUGUCUCUUGGAUUGGUUUUGUUGUUGGCAUUGCAUUGGGGCGGUAAGGGGUGGGGUGAUUCUCGCCAUCCCAUCUUCCAGUCCCCCUCCUGCUUCCAGCUCACCUCUAUGAAAGAGAUGCCAUUAAUGUUCUAGGAUGUGGAUUAGGCCAUGUUUACCAUUAAGAGUUGCUAAGCAGUGAAAGACCACCCACAUACAAGGGGCUCUUUGUUCUACAUCUUUUUUUUUUUUUUUUUUUUUUUUUUUUUUUUUAUGGCUUCAGGAAACCACUCUGGAGCUGUUCAGGCCAGACAUUUUUUUCUUGUUUCUUCUUGGCACAUAGACCUAAGUCCAUCUUUGCUUCCAGGUCAAAAGGUUGCAGCUUCUUUUUUUGUUUGUUUUUUGUUUAUUAGUUAUUUUUAGGAUAUAGCUUCUAAGAGCUUAAAAUAUGGAUUAGAGGAGCAUUAUAGAGGCUCUUGCAUUUUAUAUUUAUCUGUGUGCCCUAUCACAGCUUUGCCAUAGUUCUCUGGAGGUAUUGGGAUUGGCUAAAUGAUAAAAUAUUUCCCUUUUAAUCUCUUUAUUGGUUUAUUCAGGAGCCUGACAGGGAGUUGAAGGAUGAAGAAAUUUUAAGAUUUAAAUAUUGGGUGCUGGGAAGUAAGGCGUCUUCAGAAUGUGCUUUCUGAUCCUAUUUCACCUGAAACUGGGAUCUCCCAAGACAUAGGACUUUGAGUGCUGUAACUUGGAAAGUUCUGGGAAAACUGGAAUGAAUUUGACCACACCAUCCAAAUCUUGUCUUGAUUUAUUACACAGACUAGAGGUAUCUAAAGGAUUCUUGUCUUGUAAAGCUUGAUGAGUAGGUCAGUUGUAAACUGCAAUGGUAGACAUCUGUUUGUUUGAAUGCUAUUUCUCUGAGUGACACCUUCAGAAAAGGUAACCAAUGACUUUAAAAACAGUAAUACAGGUUCAAAAAUAUCUUAAUGGCUUUCCAUCUACUUUGUUCUAGCCACUAUAUGAAACAGUUACAGGAAACUGAAAAACACCAAGACUAUAUAGGAGUAUGAGUUUCUUUUAUGCCAAGUCAACUCUUCUGGUUCACAGUUACCAGCAAUAAAGGAUUUCCCUGUGGACUCAAGAACGCUUAUACCACUGAAUUCCUAGCGCUUUAACAUUGUUACUUACACAAGGAGGACCAGGAUGAUGCAAGCACUGUGUUGACCCCGAGAGAACUCUCCGGAGGCUUCAUGAAACUUGUGGGUUCUCUGCUGUCUUGAAGCUAUACAUUUGGUAUGUUUGCAAAGACUUGGUUCUGCCAAGAUGGUUUUAGUUAUUUCUGCUGAAAGGAAUGGACUCAAGCAUUUGAA